rnacentral:rRNA from 1 species
AAUAUUGGACAAUGGGGGCAACCCUGAUCCAGCCAUGCCGCGUGUGUGAAGAAGGUCUUCGGAUUGUCAAGCACUUCAAGUUGGGGGGAAGGGCAGUAAGAUAAUACAUUGCUGUUUUGACGUUACCGACAGAAUAAGCACCGACUAACUUCGUCCCAGCAGCCGCGGUAAUACGAAGGAGGCAAGCGUUAAUCGGAAUUAUUGGGCGUAAAGCGAGCGUAGGUGGUUUGUUAAGUUGGAAGUGAAAGCCCCGGGCUCAACCUGGGAACUGCUUUCGAAACUGGCAAGCUAGAGUAUGGCAGAGGGUGGUGGAAUUUCAUGUGUAGCGGUGAAAUGCGUAGAUAUAGGAAGGAACAUCAGUGGCGAAGGCGACCACCUGGGCUAAUACUGACACUGAGGUGCGAAAGCGUGGGGAGCAAAC